rnacentral:rRNA from 1 species
AUGGGUGAUAGCGUGCCUUUUGUAGAAUGAACCGGCGAGUUACGAUUUGUUGCAAGGUUAAGCGGAAAAAGCGGAGCCGUAGCGAAAGCGAGUCUGAAUAGGGCGCAUGAGUAACAGGUCGUAGACCCGAAACCAGGUGAUCUACCCAUGUCCAGGAUGAAGGUGAGGUAAUACUCACUGGAGGUCCGAACCCACGCACGUUGAAAAGUGCGGGGAUGAGGUGUGGGUAGCGGAGAAAUUCCAAUCGAACCUGGAGAUAGCUGGUUCUCUCCGAAAUAGCUUUAGGGCUAGCCUCGAGGUAAAGAGUCGUGGAGGUAGAGCACUGUUUGGACUAGGGGCCCUUCUCGGGUUACCGAAUUCAGAUAAACUCCGAAUGCCAUGUACUUAUACUCGGGAGUCAGACUGCGAGUGAUAAGAUCCGUAGUCGAAAGGGAAACAGCCCAGACCACCAGUUAAGGUCCCAAAAUAUAUGUUAAGUGGAAAAGGAUGUGGGGUUGCAUAGACAACCAGGAUGUUGGCUUAGAAGCAGCCACCAUUGAAAGAGUGCGUAAUAGCUCACUGGUCGAGUGACCCCGCGCCGAAAAUGUACCGGGGCUAAACAUAUUACCGAAACUGUGGAUGAACCUCUUCGGAGGUUCGUGGUAGGAGAGCGUUCUAAGGGCGGUGAAGUCAGACCGGAAGGACUGGUGGAGCGCUUAGAAGUGAGAAUGCCGGUAUGAGUAGCGAAAGAAGGGUGAGAAUCCCUUCCACCGAAUAUCUAAGGUUUCCUGAGGAAGGCUCGUCCGCUCAGGGUUAGUCGGGACCUAAGCUGAGGCCGAUAGGCGUAGGCGAUGGACAACAGGUAGAUAUUCCUGUACCAGUGCGAGUUGUUUGAGCAAUGGGGUGACACAGAAGGAUAGGGAAUCGCACAGAUGGAAA